CUCUCUCUCUCUCUCUCUCUCUCUCUCUCUCUCUCUCUCUCUCUCUCUCUCUCUCUCUCUCUCUCCAACAACGACGACGACAGCAAAGAAGGUGAAGGGGGUGAUGAUGGCGAGGGACAUAUCGACAACAAUGACGAUAAGGGUGAGCCCAUACCUUCAUCGAUGACGACGACAGCAACGACGAGAGGGUUGGGAAAAGUUAUUUAUACCUGGAGUGGAAGCAAGAAGUUAUUACAUUUUCUCAAUUUCUUGAGAGAAUUAAGGCUAAUGGCUCUUCCUUUAUUGCCCCAACAUAUCUUGAGAGGAUUUGCAUCUCAUAUUCACCAAGUGCAACUUUUGAAAUUAUUCUUAUAAACUGGUACUUUUAAACUUUUACUAAUUUGUUCUUUUGUGUUUUUGGUAGAAACAGAUCAUUGGAGCUUCUGAGAUGCGGCAACAAAGAAAAUUGAGCUGUAAUUUAAAAUUUGGUCGUAAUUUAGUUUGCUUCAUUAUAAUUUUGGUUGUAAUUUUAAAUUUAAUGUUGGAUUAUUUUAUUAUUUUUGCAAAAGAAUGAUUGCUUUAUUCAA